UAGACUUCAGGAAGAUUGCACCAGCUGGGUGAGUGGGCAGAACAGCGGCAGAUGAAUCUUCAAGGACAAGACAGCAGAUGCCUUUAGGACAAACAAUCCCAAGUCAGAAAAAAAUGGUCUCUGAAGGGUUUUGGAAGGUCCAUGCUUGCACAAGAAAUAAGACUCUUUACAGUUCUGUGUGAUUGGAAGUUUUCGCACACUUGAGCUAAGACAUGGGAAGGUAAAUUAAAAAGAAAUCAGCACUGAAGGAGAGAAUGAGGAAGUCAUAGAGUGCACACACCCAGUCUGGGCCAAGGGUGUGCACUGAAGAUAAGCCAGUCCUACCUGCCUGUCCUGAUGUACCCAGACCUGGAUCCAUGGAUUGACCGUCUGUCAGUUUGACCACAACUGGAGGAUGCUCCCAGGAAGAAGAUUCAGAAUCAGCCUCCAAGUGAGGUGUGGAUGUUCUCCAGCAACUGACGAGGACCCAGUAUUACCGAGAGUCCACGUAUAGUUUUGUUAGUUACAGAAUAUUAACUAGGAUGUUUCCUCCGAGGGUUUUAACUGCAUGGUUUUUGCACAGGUUGGGACUUGAACUGAUUUUCUGAGGAAGCUGUUCAUCAAAGGCGUCUCCAUGAGCUAACCUUGAGUUUGAUUAUUCUCUGCAAUAAUCAAUAAGAGAACAGGACAGAAAAGUUUUUUUUGUUGUUGCUGUUGUUGUUGUUGUUACAAUUUCAGCUUACUAUACUAACUCACAGCCUGUUGUACCACCAGGGUGACCCUUCUGGAGAUUUCAGUACUUAGGUGACCACUGAUCAAACUUUAUACACUUGGAUUGCUUAACAGUGUAGCAACAUGUCCAUUCAAAAUGUUUUUAUUCAUCCAUCCAACUUGAUUGACAUUCAAACCAGCUAGUGACCCGGAGCUGGGAACACUGGCAUGGGAUGCCAGCCUUCCCACCAUCCAGCUCCCAUUGGUUUCCUCAAAUUCCAGUCCUUCCCCAAAGGAACAGAUGGAGCGAGGGUGAGAAUGUAGGAAGUGAUUUUUAAAAAGGUGGGGGAGGGGUGAGCUGAAAAGGGAUGCUAGCUAAGAGAGAACAAAGAGUCCCCAAAAACAUAAUGAUUAACAAACGUACCAUUGGGACCUAGAAUGAGAAGACAGGCCAGGAGUAGGGCAGGGCUGCCAGGGCCAGUUACUCAGAGCACUAUACAGCAAACAGACACCAGAUGAGCAGCCAGGAGUGCAAACACCAGAUCCAAGUUUACUUGUCUUCCUCAUGCCCUGGUGGAGAGACUUUGUCUAUCCCUACAAUCAGGCUUCCUUUACCAAUUCGAAGAAGCAUACAGCACAGUGGGUCUGAGUUUGAUCCCUGGUACCCACAUGAUAGGAGAGAACCAAGUCCUGCAAAUUGUCCUCUGACCCCCCCUCUCUCUCUCUCUCACACACACACACAUUCACAUACUCACACACACACUCACACACAUACAUACUCACACACACACUCUCUCACACACACACACUCUCUCACACACACACACAC
rnacentral:lncRNA from 1 species